UUAUAAUUUCGCGCACUUAUCUUCUGCGAUGGAAUAAAAUACUGAUCCUGUCAUAAUGUGGUGGUAGUUGAGACCGGUUGUGGCGGCAUGUGAAGAGGUCGACGACCAUGAGGAAAAUAUUGGGAUGUUAAUUAAUUUAUUUCAGUUAAUACCAGUUUAUUUUAAUCAGGAAAUAUCGCGUUCACACGCUAUUCGAAAUUCUGACAUACCGUGCAAUUGUUUUAGCAAGAUAGAAGAUACCUAAUGAGUGCCGUAUACAGCCGAACCAUGUAAUUUGGAAGAAAGGCCGCCCAACUGUUGCUUGCGUCACUUGUUCUUCACAGCAUUACAUCUGGAAACCAGCUGGAGCACCAUUCUAGAGACCUGCAGCAUAGAAGACAGUACAGCCAGGUCUUGAAACAACAAACCCAGUUUUUACGACUUCCAUGUUCAUGCGGGGGCAGUGACUGUGGGUGCUGUGCCACUCUGAGUGUCCCACCUCUGGAUUUCAAUCA